rnacentral:misc_RNA from 1 species
GGACGGGAUGAGAUGCAGG